UACGUAGGGGGCUAGCGUUGUCCGGAAUCAUUGGGCGUAAAGAGCGCGUAGGCGGCCAGAUAAGUCCGGUGUGAAAGUCAAAGGCUCAACCUUUGAAUGCCGCUGGAAACUGUCUGGCUAGAGUCCGGGAGGGGCGAGUGGAAUUCCUGGUGUAGCGGUGAAAUGCGCAGAUAUCAGGAGGAACACCAAUGGCGAAGGCAGCUCGCUGGAACGGUACUGACGCUGAGGCACGAAAGGUCAGGGGAGGCAAACGGG
rnacentral:rRNA from 1 species